CCUGUCCGGCAUCUGCCCACAGGUCGGGAUGUGAUCUCACUCGAGAUUGAACCAGGAA
rnacentral:ncRNA from 1 species